CGAGGACGACGCUGGCGGCGUGCUUAACACAUGCAAGUCGAGCGGGGAUACGUGAGGUUUUCGGACGGAGGGUAUUCUAGCGGCGGACGGGUGAGUAACGCGUGAACAAUCUGUCCCAGACAGGGGAAUAACAGAUGGAAACAUCUGCUAAUACCGCAUAAGACCACGACCUCACAUGGGGUUGGGGUAAAAAGGCGCAAGUCGGUUUGGGGUGAGUUCGCGUCCGAUUAGCUAGUUGGCGGGGUAAAGGCCCACCAAGGCGACGAUCGGUAGCCGACCUGAGAGGGUGAUCGGCCACACUGGAACUGAGAGACGGUCCAGACUCCUACGGGAGGCAGCAGUGGGGAAUAUUGGGCAAUGGGGGAAACCCUGACCCAGCAACGCCGCGUGAGGGAAGAAGGUUUUCGGAUUGUAAACCUCUGUCCUUGGUGAAGAAGGAAGUGACGGUAGCCAAGGAGGAAGCCCCGGCUAACUACGUGCCAGCAGCUGC
rnacentral:rRNA from 1 species